rfam:Pteropus alecto contig27957, whole genome shotgun sequence.
ACUGGAGCCAAAUCUAUCUCAAAAGUCUAGGAUCUUAAUUUUUGUUAAUAGUGAGAUACAACACUUAAAUUUUUUUUCCCAUGAAUAAGGGAUAGAAAUAUCCAC